rnacentral:lncRNA from 1 species
AAUUUUUCAAGUAUUUGGCACUUCUAGUAAAGUGACAUCAUUAGUAGUUGACUACUUAAAAUCCAAAGUUCUUUGUCCCAAUGCACAGUGACACUGGAGUGACUUGGAUGUUCUCUCAGGAAACAGCGCUCCUAAGGACGUGCGGGGAGAGGCUAGAGCAGCCUCUGUCCUCUGACCACUGAGCAGCACUUCACAGCUAACACUGUGGGUGUGGCUGGCACUGUGUGGGCGUGACAAUCUCCAUGCUUCUUAUUUCAGGAGGAAAUGAAAACCUUUAGACUGCGAGUCCAAGAAGUGGUGAGGGAAAAUGAAGGCUUGCACCAAGAGUUAACUAAGAGAAGCCCCGUCACCAUCGAGGAAUGGAGGCAGCUUCAGACUCAAGCAGAGCUGGUUCUAGA